UAGCUAGUUGGUGAGGUAAAGGCUUACCAAGGCGACGAUCUGUAGCGGGUCUGAGAGGAUGAUCCGCCACACUGGAACUGAGACACGGUCCAGACUCCUACGGGAGGCAGCAGUGGGGAAUUUUGGACAAUGGGGGCAACCCUGAUCCAGCCAUGCCGCGUGAGUGAAGAAGGCCUUCGGGUUGUAAAGCUCUUUCGGCCGGGAAGAAAUCGCAUGGGCCAAUACCCUGUGUGGAUGACGGUACCGGAAUAAGAAGCACCGGCUAACUACGUGCCAGCAGCCGCGGUAAUACGUAGGGUGCGAGCGUUAAUCGGAAUUACUGGGCGUAAAGCGUGCGCAGGCGGUUUUGUAAGACAGGCGUGAAAUCCCCGGGCUUAACCUGGGAACUGCGUUUGUGACUGCAAGGCUAGAGUACGGCAGAGGGGGGUGGAAUUCCACGUGUAGCAGUGAAAUGCGUAGAGAUGUGGAGGAACACCAAUGGCGAAGGCAGCCCCCUGGGUCGAUACUGACGCUCAUGCACGAAAGCGUGGGUAGCAAACAGGAUUAGAUACCCUGGUAGUCCACGCCCUAAACUAUGUCAACUAGGUGUUGGGUGGGUAAAACCAUUUAGUACCGUAGCUAACGCGUGAAGUUGACCGCCUGGGGAGUACGGCCGCAAGGUUAAAACUCAAAGGAAUUGACGGGGACCCGCACAAGCGGUGGAUGAUGUGGAUUAAUUCGAUGCAACGCGAAAAACCUUACCUACCCUUGACAUGCCAGGAACUUGCCAGAGAUGGCUUGGUGCCCGAAAGGGAGCCUGGACACAGGUGCUGCAUGGCUGUCGUCAGCUCGUGUCGUGAGAUGUUGGGUUAAGUCCCGCAACGAGCGCAACCCUUGUCGUUAAUUGCCAUCAUUUAGUUGGGCACUUUAGCGAGACUGCCGGUGACAAACCGGAGGAAGGUGGGGAUGACGUCAAGUCCUCAUGGCCCUUAUGGGUAGGGCUUCACACGUCAUACAAUGGUCGGUACAAAGGGUUGCCAAGCCGCGAGGCGGAGCCAAUCCCAGAUAGCCGAUCGUAGUCCGGAUUGCAGGCUGCAACUCGCCUGCAUGAAGUCGGAAUCGCUAGUAAUCGUGGAUCAGCAUGUCACGGUGAAUACGUUCCCGGGUCUUGUACACACCGCCCGUCACACCAUGGGAGCGGGUUCCGCCAGAAGUAGGUAGCCUAACCGCAAGGGGGGCGCUUACCACGGCGGGGUUCGUGACUGGGGUGAAGUCGUAACAAGGUAGCCGUAGGGGAACCUGCGGCUG
rnacentral:rRNA from 1 species